GAUGAAGAACGUAGCGAAAUGCGAUAGGUAAUGUGAAUUGCAGAAUUCAGUGAAUCAUCGAAUCUUUGAACGCACAUUGCGCCUGCCAGUAUUCUGGCGGGCAUGCCUGUUCGAGCGUCAUUACAACCCUCAGGCCCCCGGGCCUGGCGUUGGGGAUCGGCGGAGCCCCCCGUGGGCACACGCCGUCCCCCAAAUACAGUGGCGGUCCCGCCGCAGCUUCCAUCGCGUAGUAGCUAACACCUCGCGACUGGAGAGCGGCGCGGCCACGCCGUAAAACACCCAACUCUUCUGAAGUUGACCUCGAAUCAGGUAGGAAUACCCGCUGAACUUAAGCAUAUCAAUAAGCGGAGGA
rnacentral:misc_RNA from 1 species